rnacentral:rRNA from 1 species
CCUACGGGAGGCAGCAGUGGGGAAUAUUGCACAAUGGUCGAAACCCUGAUGCAGCGACGUCGCGUGCGUGAUGAAGUAUUUCGGUAUGUAAAGCUGUAUCAGCAGAGAAGAAAAUGACGGUACCUGACUCAGAAGCCCCGGCUAACUACGUGCCAGCAGCCGUGGUAAUACGCAGGGGGCAGGCGUUAUCCGGAUUUACUGGGUGUAAAGGGGGCGUAGACGGCGGUGCAAGUCAGAUGUGAAAGCCCGGGGCUCAACCCCGGGACUGCAUUUGGAACUGGGCUGCUAGAGUGGCGGAGAGGCAGGCGGAAUGCCUAGUGUAGCGGUGAAAUGCGUAGAUAUUAGGAGGAACACCAGUUGCGAAGGCGGCCUGCUGGACGAUGACUGACGUUGAGGCUCGAAAGCGUGGGGAGCAAACAGGAUUAGAUACCCCAGUAGUC